AUUUUCUUUCUUCUUAAUUUUUUAAUUUAUAAGGGUUUUCUCCUAGAUCUGGUUGUUUAAUUAAGUGCUUGAUUUGUGCUUAAUUUGAAUAUGUUCUUUCUUUUAUGUUUUAAAUGAAUUAUUCCCCUUGAAAAUUGAAAGUUGUCUCCAUUUAAAUUAGGGUUCACUUUUAAAUCCAGGUAAAUUUACGGUUAUAAGAAAUGGCAUAUCUGAUUAAAUGUGUGGAUUUCAUUAUAAGAAUUUUUUAUUCAGUCGAUUCGAUUGAAAUGGAAAUUGAGAAGUAAAUUCCUAAAGAGAAGUUGAAAAGCAGUAAGAAAUUAUGGGUCAAAGGUUUUGUGUUUCAACUAGCAAAUCUAAAAUGAAUACUGUUUGGUUUAAUUAUCAUUUGUUUUUUUUUUUUUCUGUAAAUUCUGAUUUUUUUUCUUUAAGUUAUGAAUUUCUAGAUUUUUUCUUAUUUGUCUUAAUUUAAAUUUUCUCUAAGCUCUAAAUUAUGAAUGCUUGAUAUAUAUUAUUGGGACAAUUGAAAUUUGGAAUGAAUAUUGAUGGGUUAAAUUGUCAAUCAUGCUUCCUCAAUGCGGUUUUUAAUUUCGGAGUUCUACCGAUGACAUAACUAAUUAAAAUCCUCUUAUAAGGAUGUAGCAAACAUAUAUCUAGUGUGGUGGUGAUUUUCACUAUGCAGAGUAGAUUAUAUUGGAGGUGAAAGGAUGGUUGUAUGUCAGACCAUGGUCCUUGUGGCCUGGUGGGAAACUUUUCCCCUAUGGUUAUAGUGGCUUUGGGGAGUGCUAGACAGGUGGUGGUCAUGACUAGGUGGGAUUUGAGUAAAAGAAGAUAGAUUCAAUGGAUCAGUUGCUCAAUGCAUUAGUUUUUUGGAGAAGGGGUGCUGUGACGGUGCUGAGAACAAGGAGCCAACAACUUUGUGAUUACAUUUCCUAGAUCUUAUCAUGGAGGUUUCAAUCUUGGCUUGAACUGUGCUGAGGCUGUUAAUUUUGUUCCUGCUGAUUGGUUACCUCAUGGAGGGUUUGGAUCAGAACUGUAUCAUAAGCCUACUGUACUUUCUCAUGAUGAGCUGCUUUGCGUGGCUGUUAAGAUUGGUUGUGAUGCCAAAGUAGCACUGUACAUGAAUAAGGAGGUAUCGAGGGUCUUUACAAAAGAGAAGAAUGGGAGGUAGCAGCUUUGGAAAAAGGGCCUUGUCAAAACAACAUCUGUUAUGUCACCCCGAAGACAUCCUGAGUAUGUUGGCACUAAGAUCCCACUUUCAUAAUAUGCCAGCAGUAUUUGUAUCUUUCAACUGUUGUCUGUUGCUGUAGACCAACCACUUUUGUGUGUUUAAAGCACUGGGAGCGCCUUUGUGAAUGUAAUCCAAGGAGACGCCGCCUCCGAUAUCGCCACUCUCUUGCGGGAUUAAACAAACUGUUAUUCAUAACAAAGAAUGUAAUAUCAUAACUAAUUUCUUAGAAACAUUGUUGUGCUAGCUAGUUUUGCUCUUGUAUGAAUAUUUGUAUACAAUAAAAUGAGUUUUUUUAAAAAAAAAUUAUUUAAUUAUUUUUGAAUUUUUUGUAGCACAAUGAUAUUUAUAAGAUGUCUUCAACCACCUGCCCUAAUA